AUUGAACGCUGGCGGCAUGCCUAACACAUGCAAGUCGAGCGAGCGGCGGACGGGUGCGUAAUGUCUGGGAAACUGCCUGAUGGAGGGGGAUAACUACUGGAAACGGUAGCUAAUACCGCAUACCAUCAGAUGUGGCCAGAUGGGAUUAGCUAGUAGGUGGGGUAACGGCUCACCUAGGCGACGAUCCCUAGCUGACCUGAGAGGGUGACCGGCCACCCUGGAACUGAGACACGGCCCAGACGCCUACGGGAGGCAGCAGUGGGGAAUAUUUGGCAAUGGGCGAAAGUCUGAUCGAGCCAUGCCGCGUGUGUGAAGAAGGCUUUCGGGUUGUAAAGCACUUUUGGCGGGGAAGCGUUAUCCGCAGAAGAAGCACCGGCUAACUCCGUGCCAGCAGCCGCGGUAAUAC
rnacentral:rRNA from 1 species